UGGGAAGCUCCCACCCUACCUGAGUAGAAUGCACUCCCCGUCUUUCCCAUCUCCUAUAACCUCCAAUUUAAUACCAUCAGAUCGAAGGUUAUAGGAGGUGGGAAAGGCCGGGGAGAACAUUCCACUCGGGUAGGGUGGGAGCUUC